rnacentral:rRNA from 1 species
UAGUUGGUGAGGUAAUGGCUCACCAAGGCUACGAUCAGUAUCCGGUCUGAGAGGACGGUCGGACACACUGGAACUGAGACACGGUCCAGACUCCUACGGGAGGCAGCAGUGGGGAAUUUUUCGCAAUGGGGGCAACCCUGACGAAGCAACGCCGCGUGGAUGAUGAAGUAUCUCGGUACGUAAAAUCCUUUCGACAGGGAAGAAACCGCAAGGUUGACGGUACCUGUAGAAGAAGCCCCGGCUAACUCCGUGCCAGCAGCCGCGGUAAUACGGGGGGGGCGAGCGUUGUUCGGAAUUACUGGGCGUAAAGGGCGCGUAGGCGGUCUGCUAAGUUGGAUGUGAAAACUCUGGGCUUAACCCAGAGCCUGCAUUCAAUACUGACAGGCUAGAGUUCUGGAGGGGAUAGCGGAAUUCCUGGUGUAGCGGUGAAAUGCGUAGAUAUCAGGAGGAACACCGGUGGCGAAGGCGGCUAUCUGGACAGAGUCUGACGCUGAGGCGCGAAAGCUAGGGGAGCAAACAGGAUUAGAUACCCUGGUAGUCCUAGCCCUAAACGAUGGAUACUUGGUGUGACUGGGAUUGAAUCCAGUCGUGCCGAAGCUAACGCAUUAAGUAUCCCGCCUGGGGAGUAUGGUCGCAAGGCUGAAACUCAAAGGAAUUGACG